CAGUAGUGGGGGACAACUCGGGGAAACUCGAGCUAAUACCGCAUACGCCCUACGGGGGAAAGCGGAGGAUCUUUCGGGACUUCGCGCUAUUGGAUGAGCCUAAGUCGGAUUAGCUUGUUGGUGAGGUAAAAGCUCAUCAAGGCGACGAUCCGUAGCUGGUCUGAGAGGACGAUCAGCCACACUGGGACUGAGACACGGCCCAGACUCCUACGGGAGGCAGCAGUGGGGAAUAUUGGACAAUGGGGGCAACCCUGAUCCAGCAAUGCCGCGUGUGUGAAGAAGGCCUGCGGGUUGUAAAGCACUUUCAGUAGAGAAGAAAAGUUCAGGGUUAAUACCCCUGAAUCUUGACGUUACCUACAGAAGAAGCUCCGGCUAACUCCGUGCCAGCAGCCGCGGUAAUACGGAGGGAGCGAGCGUUAAUCGGAAUUACUGGGCGUAAAGCGCGCGUAGGCGGCUUCGUAAGUCGGAUGUGAAAGCCCCGGGCUCAACCUGGGAAUGGCAUUCGAUACUGCAGAGCUAGAGUAUGGUAGAGGGAAGUGGAAUUUCCGGUGUAGCGGUGAAAUGCGUAGAUAUCGGAAGGAACACCAGUGGCGAAGGCGACUUCCUGGGC
rnacentral:rRNA from 1 species